rnacentral:rRNA from 1 species
CAGCAGCCGCGGUAAUUCCAGCUCCAAUAGCGUAUAUUAAAGUUGUUGUGGUUAAAAAGCUCGUAGUUGGAUUUCGGCGGGUAUUGGUCGGUUUGAAUUGCUUCAAUACUGACUUUUUUACCCGUGUGUUUUGCCAGAAUUUAACGGGUGAUCUUCGCCGAUUGUCUGUUAGAACUGGCAGGUUUACUUUGAAAAAAUUAGAGUGCUCAAAGCAAGCUUGAUUGCUUGAAUAUUCGUGCAUGGAAUAAUGAAAUAGGAAGUCGUUUCUAUUUUGUUGGUUUUCGGAAAUCGACUUAAUGAUUAAUAGGGACAGUCGGGGGCAUUUGUAUUCAAACGACAGAGGUGAAAUUCUUGGACCGUUUGAAGACAAACUACUGCGAAAGCAUUUGCCAAGAAUGUUUUCAUUAAUCAAGAACGAAAGUUAGAGGUUCGAAGGCGAUUAGAUACCGCCCUAGUUCUAACCAUAAACGAUGCCAGCUAGCGAUCUGACGGCGUUUUAUUUUUGACUUGUCAGGGAGCUUCCGGGAAACCAAAGCUUGUGGGUUCCAGGGGAAGUAUGGUUGCAAAGCUGAAACUUAAAGGAAUUGACGGAAGGGCACCACCAGGAGUGGAGCCUGUGGCUUAAUUUGACUCAACACGGG